AAACCAUCUGCCUCUCGUGUCUGCAUCUGGGUCUCGCCCUGUGCCCUUAUAUCAAGAGCCAACAGGACCUGAGCCCUAGGACCAUGCCUCAGGACUACCUGGCUUGAUGACUCCUUGCUGUCCCCAGUUCACCUGGCCGUGCUGCUGCUCCAGUUCCAACUGUUCUGCCUGCAGCUAUGGAACCCUGACCUGUUCACCGGACGUGCUACCUGUCCCAGACCUGCUGUCCCAGACCUGCUGGAACCCUGACCUAUUCACCGGAUGUGCUACCUGUCCCAGACCUGCUGUUUUCAACUCUCUAGAGACAGCAGGAGCGGUAGAGAUACUGUCAAAGAUCGGCUAUGAAAAAGCCAACUGACACUUACUCUUGUGUUACUGACUUGUUGCACCCUCGACAACUACUAUGAUUAUUAUUAUUUGACCAUGCUGGUCAUUUAUGAAGAUUUGA
rnacentral:lncRNA from 1 species